ensembl:miRNA
UGGGAGUGGGAGUGCUGGUAAACUGAAUGGAACGCAGGUUCGAAUCCCAGCGCUGCCUCUGACC